rnacentral:rRNA from 1 species
UACGGAGGGGGCAAGCGUUAUUCGGAAUUACUGGGCGUAAAGCGCACGCAGGUGGCUGAGUCAGUCGAUUGUGAAAGCCCUGGGCUUAACCUGGGAAUUGCAGUCGAUACUACUCAGCUAGAGUAUGGGAGAGGGUAGUGGAAUUCCCGGUGUAGCGGUGAAAUGCGUAGAUAUCGGGAGGAACAUCAGUGGCGAAGGCGGCUACCUGGCCCGAUACUGACACUCAGGUGCGACAGCGUGGGGAGCAAACAGG